GCUGGGCGUGGUGGCUCACGCCUGUAAUCCCAGCACUUUGGGAGGCUGAGGUGGGCAGAUCACCUGAGGUCGGGAGUUCGAGACCAGCCUGACCAACAUGGUGAAAUCCCAUCUCUA
ensembl:misc_RNA Metazoa_SRP Metazoan signal recognition particle RNA